GGUUAAGCGACUAAGCGUACACGGUGGAUGCCCUGGCAGUCAGAGGCGAUGAAGGACGUGCUAAUCUGCGAUAAGCGUCGGUAAGGUGAUAUGAACCGUUAUAACCGGCGAUUUCCGAAUGGGGAAACCCAGUGUGAUUCGUCACACUAUCAUUAACUGAAUCCAUAGGUUAAUGAGGCGAACCGGGGGAACUGAAACAUCUAAGUACCCCGAGGAAAAGAAAUCAACCGAGAUUCCCCCAGUAGCGGCGAGCGAACGGGGAGGAGCCCAGAGCCUGAAUCAGUGUGUGUGUUAGUGGAAGCGUCUGGAAAGGCGCGCGAUACAGGGUGACAGCCCCGUACACAAAAAUGCACAUGCUGUGAGCUCGAUGAGUAGGGCGGGACACGUGGUAUCCUGUCUGAAUAUGGGGGACCAUCCUCCAAGGCUAAAUACUCCUGACUGACCGAUAGUGAACCAGUACCGUGAGGGAAAGGCGAAAAGAACCCCGGCGAGGGGAGUGAAAAAGAACCUGAAACCGUGUACGUACAAGCAGUGGGAGCACAGAGCAAUCUGUGUGACUGCGUACCUUUGUAUAAUGGGUCAGCGACUUAUAUUCUGUAGCAAGGUUAACCGAAUAGGGGAGCCGAAGGGAAACCGAGUCUUAACCGGGCGUUAAGUUGCAGGGUAUAGACCCGAAACCCGGUGAUCUAGCCAUGGGCAGGUUGAAGGUUGGGUAACACUAACUGGAGGACCGAACCGACUAAUGUUGAAAAAUUAGCGGAUGACUUGUGGCUGGGGGUGAAAGGCCAAUCAAACCGGGAGAUAGCUGGUUCUCCCCGAAAGCUAUUUAGGUAGCGCCUCGUGAAUUCAUCUCCGGGGUAGAGCACUGUUUCGGCAAGGGGGUCAUCCCGACUUACCAACCCGAUGCAAACUGCGAAUACCGGAGAAUGUUAUCACGGGAGACACACGGCGGGUGCUAACGUCCGUCGUGAAGAGGGAAACAACCCAGACCGCCAGCUAAGGUCCCAAAGUCAUGGUUAAGUGGGAAACGAUGUGGGAAGGCCCAGACAGCCAGGAUGUUGGCUUAGAAGCAGCCAUCAUUUAAAGAAAGCGUAAUAGCUCACUGGUCGAGUCGGCCUGCGCGGAAGAUGUAACGGGGCUAAACCAUGCACCGAAGCUGCGGCAGCGACACUGUGUGUUGUUGGGUAGGGGAGCGUUCUGUAAGCCUGUGAAGGUGUGCUGUGAGGCAUGCUGGAGGUAUCAGAAGUGCGAAUGCUGACAUAAGUAACGAUAAAGCGGGUGAAAAGCCCGCUCGCCGGAAGACCAAGGGUUCCUGUCCAACGUUAAUCGGGGCAGGGUGAGUCGACCCCUAAGGCGAGGCCGAAAGGCGUAGUCGAUGGGAAACAGGUUAAUAUUCCUGUACUUGGUGUUACUGCGAAGGGGGGACGGAGAAGGCUAUGUUGGCCGGGCGACGGUUGUCCCGGUUUAAGCGUGUAGGCUGGUUUUCCAGGCAAAUCCGGAAAAUCAAGGCUGAGGCGUGAUGACGAGGCACUACGGUGCUGAAGCAACAAAUGCCCUGCUUCCAGGAAAAGCCUCUAAGCAUCAGGUAACAUCAAAUCGUACCCCAAACCGACACAGGUGGUCAGGUAGAGAAUACCAAGGCGCUUGAGAGAACUCGGGUGAAGGAACUAGGCAAAAUGGUGCCGUAACUUCGGGAGAAGGCACGCUGAUAUGUAGGUGAAGUCCCUCGCGGAUGGAGCUGAAAUCAGUCGAAGAUACCAGCUGGCUGCAACUGUUUAUUAAAAACACAGCACUGUGCAAACACGAAAGUGGACGUAUACGGUGUGACGCCUGCCCGGUGCCGGAAGGUUAAUUGAUGGGGUCAGCGCAAGCGAAGCUCUUGAUCGAAGCCCCGGUAAACGGCGGCCGUAACUAUAACGGUCCUAAGGUAGCGAAAUUCCUUGUCGGGUAAGUUCCGACCUGCACGAAUGGCGUAAUGAUGGCCAGGCUGUCUCCACCCGAGACUCAGUGAAAUUGAACUCGCUGUGAAGAUGCAGUGUACCCGCGGCAAGACGGAAAGACCCCGUGAACCUUUACUAUAGCUUGACACUGAACAUUGAGCCUUGAUGUGUAGGAUAGGUGGGAGGCUUUGAAGUGUGGACGCCAGUCUGCAUGGAGCCGACCUUGAAAUACCACCCUUUAAUGUUUGAUGUUCUAACGUGGACCCGUGAUCCGGGUUGCGGACAGUGUCUGGUGGGUAGUUUGACUGGGGCGGUCUCCUCCUAAAGAGUAACGGAGGAGCACGAAGGUUGGCUAAUCCCCGGUCGGACAUCAGGAGGUUAGUGCAAUGGCAUAAGCCAGCUUGACUGCGAGCGUGACGGCGCGAGCAGGUGCGAAAGCAGGUCAUAGUGAUCCGGUGGUUCUGAAUGGAAGGGCCAUCGCUCAACGGAUAAAAAGGUACUCCGGGGAUAACAGGCUGAUACCGCCCAAGAGUUCAUAUCGACGGCGGUGUUUGGCACCCUCGAUGUCGGCUCAUCACAUCCUGGGGCUGAAGUAGGUCCCAAGGGUAUGGCUGUUCGCCAUUUAAAGUGGUACGCGAGCUGGGUUUAGAACGUCGUGAGACAGUUCGGUCCCUAUCUGCCGUGGGCGCUGGAGAACUGAGGGGGCUGCUCCUAGUACGAGAGGACCGGAGUGGACGCAUCACUGGUGUUCGGGUUGUCAUGCCAAUGGCACUGCCCGGUAGCUAAAUGCGGAAGAGAUAAGUGCUGAAAGCAUCUAAGCACGAAACUUGCCCCGAGAUGAGUUCUCCCUGACCCUUUAAGGGUCCUGAAGGAACGUUGAAGACGACGACGUUGAUAGGCCGGGUGUGUAAGCGCAGCGAUGCGUUGAGCUAACCGGUACUAAUGAACCGUGAGGCUUAACCUU
rnacentral:rRNA from 1 species